rnacentral:rRNA from 1 species
GUCCACGCCCUAAACGAUGAACACUCGCUGUUGGCGAUACACAGUCAGCGGCUAAGCGAAAGCGUUAAGUGUUCCACCUGGGGAGUACGCCCGCAAGGGUGAAAACUCAAAAGGAAUUGACGGGGGUCCGCACAAGCGGAGGAGCAUGUGGUUUAAUUCGAUGAUACGCGAGGAACCUUACCCGGGCUUGAAAGUUAGUGAAUCAUUUAGAGAUAGAUGAAGUGAGCAAAUCAACACGAAAACUAGGUGCUGCAUGGCUGUCGU